CCAACGCUGCAACCGACACCGUAGCGCCCAAAGGGCGUCGUGCGGGAUCCUGCAAAAGAUACGGGAGGGCGGAAACGUUAUAACUAGCACUCCCGUUAGGUAGGCUCACAGCAGAAGGACGGAACAGCUGCUGACAGUCUGGCAAGUAGCGUGGCGUAGCGAU